rnacentral:rRNA from 1 species
GACGAACGCUGGCGGCGUGCUUAACACAUGCAAGUCGAACGGUAAGGCCCUUCGGGGUACACGAGUGGCGAACGGGUGAGUAACACGUGGGUGAUCUGCCCUGCACUUCGGGAUAAGCCUGGGAAACUGGGUCUAAUACCGGAUAGGACCACUGCCUGCAUGGGUGGUGGUGGAAAGCUUUUGCGGUGGGGGAUGGGCCCGCGGCCUAUCAGCUUGUUGGUGGGGUGAUGGCCUACCAAGGCGACGACGGGUAGCCGGCCUGAGAGGGUGACCGGCCACACUGGGACUGAGAUACGGCACAGACUCCUACGGGAGGCAGCAGUGGGGAAUAUUGCUCAAUGGGCGCAAGCCUGAUGCAGCGACGCCGCGUGAGGGAUGACGGCCUUCGGGUUGUAAACCUCUUUCAGCACCGACGAAGCGCAAGUGACGGUAGGUGCAGAAGAAGGACCGGCCAACUACGUGCCAGCCGCCGCCGUAA